rnacentral:rRNA from 1 species
UACAGAGGUGGCAAGCGUUGUUCGGAAUUACUGGGCGUAAAGGGCGCGUAGGCGGCCAUCUAAGUCAGACGUGAAAUCCCCCGGCUUAACCUGGGAACUGCGUCUGAUACUGGACGGCUCGAAUUUGGGAGAGGGAUGUGGAAUUCCAGGUGUAGCGGUGAAAUGCGUAGAUAUCUGGAGGAACACCGGUGGCGAAGGCGGCAUCCUGGACCAACAUUGACGCUGAGGCGCGAAAGCUAGGGGAGCAAACGGG